AACGUAGGAGACAAACGUUAUCCGGAGUUACUGGGCGUAAAGGGCGUGUAGGCGGACUGUUAAGUCUGGCGUGAAAGCUCCCGGCUAAACCGGGAGAGGUCGUUGGAUACUGGCAGACUAGAGGGUGGUAGAGGCGUGUGGUAUUCCGGGUGUAGUGGUGAAAUGCGUAGAGAUCCGGAGGAACACCAGUGGCGAAGGCGACACGCUGGGCCAUACCUGACGCUAAAGCGCGACAGCAUGGGGAGCAAACGGG
rnacentral:rRNA from 1 species